rnacentral:rRNA from 1 species
ACCGAAGCUGCGGCAGCGACGCUUAUGCGUUGUUGGGUAGGGGAGCGUUCUGUAAGCCUGUGAAGGUGUGUCGUGAGGCAUGCUGGAGGUAUCAGAAGUGCGAAUGCUGACAUAAGUAACGAUAAAGCGGGUGAAAAGCCCGCUCGCCGGAAGACCAAGGGUUCCUGUCCAACGUUAAUCGGGGCAGGGUGAGUCGACCCCUAAGGCGAGGCCGAAAGGCGUAGUCGAUGGGAAACGGGUUAAUAUUCCCGUACUUGGUGUUACUGCGAAGGGGGGACGGAGAAGGCUAUGUUGGCCGGGCGACGGUUGUCCCGGUUUAAGCGUGUAGGUGUGUGUUCCAGGUAAAUCCGGUUCACUUUAACACUGAGGCGUGAUGACGAGGCACUACGGUGCUGAAGUAACAAAUGCCCUGCUUCCAGGAAAAGCCUCUAAGCAUCAGGUAACAUCAAAUCGUACCCCAAACCGACACAGGUGGUCAGGUAGAGAAUACCAAGGCGCUUGAGAGAACUCGGGUGAAGGAACUAGGCAAAAUGGUGCCGUAACUUCGGGAGAAGGCACGCUGACACGUAGGUGAAGUGAUUUACUCAUGGAGCUGAAGUCAGUCGAAGAUACCAGCUGGCUGCAACUGUUUAUUAAAAACACAGCACUGUGCAAACACGAAAGUGGACGUAUACGGUGUGACGCCUGCCCGGUGCCGGAAGGUUAAUUGAUGGGGUCAGCGCAAGCGAAGCUCCUGAUCGAAGCCCCGGUAAACGGCGGCCGUAACUAUAACGGUCCUAAGGUAGCGAAAUUCCUUGUCGGGUAAGUUCCGACCUGCACGAAUGGCGUAAUGAUGGCCAGGCUGUCUCCACCCGAGACUCAGUGAAAUUGAACUCGCUGUGAAGAUGCAGUGUACCCGCGGCAAGACGGAAAGACCCCGUGAACCUUUACUAUAGCUUGACACUGAACAUUGAGCCUUGAUGUGUAGGAUAGGUGGGAGGCUUUGAAGUGUGGACGCCAGUCUGCAUGGAGCCGACCUUGAAAUACCACCCUUUAAUGUUUGAUGUUCUAACGUGGACCCGUGAUCCGGGUUGCGGACAGUGUCUGGUGGGUAGUUUGACUGGGGCGGUCUCCUCCUAAAGAGUAACGGAGGAGCACGAAGGUUGGCUAAUCCUGGUCGGACAUCAGGAGGUUAGUGCAAUGGCAUAAGCCAGCUUGACUGCGAGCGUGACGGCGCGAGCAGGUGCGAAAGCAGGUCAUAGUGAUCCGGUGGUUCUGAAUGGAAGGGCCAUCGCUCAACGGAUAAAAGGUACUCCGGGGAUAACAGGCUGAUACCGCCCAAGAGUUCAUAUCGACGGCGGUGUUUGGCACCUCGAUGUCGGCUCAUCACAUCCUGGGGCUGAAGUAGGUCCCAAGGGUAUGGCUGUUCGCCAUUUAAAGUGGUACGCGAGCUGGGUUUAGAACGUCGUGAGACAGUUCGGUCCCUAUCUGCCGUGGGCGCUGGAGAACUGAGGGGGGCUGCUCCUAGUACGAGAGGACCGGAGUGGACGCAUCACUGGUGUUCGGGUUGUCAUGCCAAUGGCACUGCCCGGUAGCUAAAUGCGGAAGAGAUAAGUGCUGAAAGCAUCUAAGCACGAAACUUGCCCCGAGAUGAGUUCUCCCUGAGACUUAAAGUCUCCUGAAGGAACGUUGAAGACGACGACGUUGAUAGGCCGGGUGUGUAAGCGCAGCGAUGCGUUGAGCUAACCGGUACUAAUGAACCGUGAGGCUUAACCUUACAACGCCGAAG